rnacentral:rRNA from 1 species
UUGAAGAAGGGGGGACCAUCCUCCAAGGCUAAAUACUCCUGAUUGACCGAUAGUGAACCAGUACUGUGAAGGAAAGGCGAAAAGAACCCCGGUGAGGGGAGUGAAAUAGAACCUGAAACCUUGUACGUACAAGCAGUGGGAGCCCCAUCACUUAAUCCGAUUGGAAGGUGAUGAAAAGCAACCGCAUUUAAACAAUGGUAAGAGGAGCGAAGCGAGUCAAACCACCCAAAAGAAGCAGUGGGAUUAAGUGAUGGGGUGACUGCGUACCUUUUGUAUAAUGGGUCAGCGACUUAUAUUUUGUAGCGAGGUUAACUGAAUAGGGGAGCCGAAGGGAAACCGAGUCUUAACUGGGCGAGUAGUUGCAAGGUAUAGACCCGAAACCCGGUGAUCUAGCCAUGGGCAGGUUGAAGGUUGGGUAACACUAACUGGAGGACCGAACCGACUAAUGUUGAAAAAUUAGCGGAUGACUUGUGGCUGGGGGUGAAAGGCCAAUCAAACCGGGAGAUAGCUGGUUCUCCCCGAAAUCUAUUUAGGUAGAGCCUUGAGGUGACACCUUUGGGGGUAGAGCACUGUUUCGGCUAGGGGGCCAUCCCGGCUUACCAACCCGAUGCAAACUACGAAUACCAAAGAGUGAUACUCAGGAGACACACGGCGGGUGCUAACGUCCGUCGUGGAGAGGGAAACAACCCAGACCGCCAGCUAAGGUCCCCAAGUCUAUAUUAAGUGGGAAACGAAGUGGGAAGGCUUAGACAGCUAGGAUGUUGGCUUAGAAGCAGCCAUCAUUUAAAGAAAGCGUAAUAGCUCACUAGUCGAGUCGGCCUGCGCGGAAGAUGUAACGGGGCUGAAAUAUAGCACCGAAGCUGCGGCAUCAGGCGUAUCACUAAUACGCCUUACGAUUAACAAGCUAGAAUGGCGCGAAGCGACAUGAAAGGUUGUUCAAGCAACCCGAACGUUGAGUCGGGCAUCUUAGAGUGAGGAUGAUUAGUGAUACGCCUGUUGGGUAGGGGAGCGUUCUGUAAGCGGAUGAAGGUGGCUCGAGAGGACUGCUGGACGUAUCAGAAGUGCGAAUGCUGACAUAAGUAACGAUAAAACGGGUGAAAAACCCGUUCGCCGGAAGACCAAGGGUUCCUGUCCAACGUUAAUCGGGGCAGGGUGAGUCGGCUCCUAAGGCGAGGCUGAAAAGCGUAGUCGAUGGGAAACAGGUUAAUAUUCCUGUACUUGGUAAAGCUGCGAUGUGGGGACGGAGUAGGUUAGGUUAUCGCACUGUUGGAUAUGUGCGUUUAAGUUGGUAGGUGGGAAGUUUAGGCAAAUCCGGGCUUCCUUAACACAGAGAGAUGAUGACGAGGCUCUACGGAGCUGAAGUAACUGAUACCACACUUCCAGGAAAAGCCACUAAGCAAAAGGCUUUACUAAACCGUACUGAAAACCGACACAGGUGGUCAGGUAGAGAAUACUCAGGCGCUUGAGAGAACUCGGGUGAAGGAACUAGGCAAAAUAGCACCGUAACUUCGGGAGAAGGUGCGCCGGCGUAGAUUGUAAGGGCUAGCCCCUGAAGGUUGAACCGGUCGAAGAUACCAGCUGGCUGCAACUGUUUAUUAAAAACACAGCACUCUGCAAACACGAAAGUGGACGUAUAGGGUGUGAUGCCUGCCCGGUGCUGGAAGGUUAAUUGAUGGUGUAAUCGAAAGAGAAGCACCUGAUCGAAGCCCCAGUAAACGGCGGCCGUAACUAUAACGGUCCUAAGGUAGCGAAAUUCCUUGUCGGGUAAGUUCCGACCUGCACGAAUGGCAUAAUGAUGGCCAGGCUGUCUCCACCCGAGACUCAGUGAAAUUGAAAUCGCCGUGAAGAUGCGGUGUACCCGCGGCUAGACGGAAAGACCCCGUGAACCUUUACUAUAGCUUGACACUGAACAUUGAAUUUUGAUGUGUAGGAUAGGUGGGAGCCUUUGAAGCAGUGACGCCAGUCAUUGUGGAGGCGACCUUGAAAUACCACCCUUUAACGUUUGAUGUUCUAACGAAGAUGACGAAACGUGGUCUCGGACAGUGUCUGGUGGGUAGUUUGACUGGGGCGGUCUCCUCCCAAAGCGUAACGGAGGAGCACGAAGGUUUGCUAAUCACGGUCGGACAUCGUGAGGUUAGUGCAAUGGUAUAAGCAAGCUUAACUGCGAGACAGACAAGUCGAGCAGGUACGAAAGUAGGUCAUAGUGAUCCGGUGGUUCUGAAUGGAAGGGCCAUCGCUCAACGGAUAAAAGGUACUCCGGGGAUAACAGGCUGAUACCGCCCAAGAGUUCAUAUCGACGGCGGUGUUUGGCACCUCGAUGUCGGCUCAUCACAUCCUGGGGCUGAAGUAGGUCCCAAGGGUAU